rnacentral:rRNA from 1 species
UACGUAGGGAGCAAGCGUUGUCCGGAAUCAUUGGGCGUAAAGCGCGCGUAGGUGGCUUCAUAAGUCCGUUGUGAAAGUCAAAGGCUCAACCUUUGAAAGCCGAUGGAUACUGUGGAGCUAGAGUACGGAAGAGGCGAGUGGAAUUCCUGGUGUAGCGGUGGAAUGCGCAGAUAUCAGGAGGAACACCGGUGGCGAAGGCGGAUCUCUGGGCCUUACCUGACGCUCAGGCGCGAAAGCUAGGGGAGCGAACAGG